CAGCAGCCGCGGUAAUACGUAGGACCCGAGCGUUGUCCGGAAUUACUGGGUAUAAAGGGUGCGCAGGCGGCCGUGUGCGUCAGAGGUGAAAUCUCCGGGCUUAACCCGGAGGGUGCCUUUGAUACGGCAUGGCUUGAGUCCGAGAGAGGGUGAUGGAAUUCCUGGUGUAGCAGUGAAAUGCGUAGAUAUCAGGAGGAACACCGAUGGCGAAGGCAGGUCUCUGGGCAUUAACUGACGCUGAGGAGCGAAAGCAUGGGGAGCGAACAGG
rnacentral:rRNA from 1 species